GGAGAGUUGCCGGAGUGGUCGAACGGGGCGGAUUCGAAAUCCGUUGUACCUUUCGGGGUACCAAGGGUUCGAAUCCCUUACUCUCCGCCA
rnacentral:tRNA from 1 species